CUUCCUUUCUUUAGUCCCUACCCCAUACCCCUGUCUGUACUCUCUCUCUCUUUCUCUCUUCCUUCCCUUCCUGUCAGUGCUACGUUCCCAGAACCUAACAGGGAACAGCAGGUUCUGGCCAAUCCCAAAUGCCAGGAGGUGGAACACAGAAUCUGGAGACACUUUGCAAGCCUGACCUAGAGUGAGAGACACUGUCACCCCCAUACACCUCCCCAGGAACAGGACUUGUCCUCUGUGCCCCGUGUCCAUCUGCCACAUGGGCUGACACCUAACACAUAUCACUCAGUAGAGGAAAUAGACAACCGAGAAUAAGUCCACUGAGUGUAGCUACAGAUGAAAACGCUUCUUUAUUUUUGUAACUGUUUCUGUCACUGCAGUCACAGCCUGUCCAUUGGAGCUGGGGAAAGCUGCCUGCCUGCCCAAUUCUCGGUGACGACUGUGGGGACAGUGACGGCGAAGGGGGUGUGUUGUGGCCAAUAAGGCAUCGUUAACAUGGUGGAGGUGAUCAGGGUAGCAUUUCUGACGUGGGGGCAGUGGUGAGGGUGAGAGUAAGUAUGGCGGUGAUAGUGGAGUUGAUAAUGACAGACGAGGUGCUGGUGGUGGUGACACUGACCCUGGACGUGUAACAAUGGACGGGAUGGACGGUCAUUGGGCACCGUUGAUAGCGACAGUGGAGGUGUGACGGGGAGGUGAUGGAAAGGCUACUAUCGGGGAGGGUGGUCAUGGCAGCCAUGGUCCUGGAGGUGGUGACGUUGGUGACAGUGAUGGUGACAAAGGCAAUGGAGUAGAGGAAGUUGCGUGUUGUACAGCUUUGCUUUGGUAACAACCCCCACAUCCCAGAGCCUUACGACAGCCAUUUAGGCCUUGCCCACUUCUGUCAGCUGCUGGGGGUUCCAACUCACACGUCUUCUCAUCUGGGAUUCCGGAUGAGGAAGGGCUCCGGUCUGGAACGUGGGGUUCUCGUGGCAGAGAGGGUGGGAGAAAGAGCCGGGCGAAAGGCGGAGUGCCUCUGGAAACUUCUCCCGGGAUGGGAUGUACGUCACCCUUGCUCAUGCCAUGAGGCCAAGGCCAGCAUCAGCGAGGCAGGGAAUGGCACUCCUUCAGGAAGGUUCCGCACGUCUCAGGCUACAGGUGGGGAGGCACAAUCCUCUUAGGGAGUGGGUGAUCCUGCAGCAUGCGGGGGGUGGGGGGUGGCCCUGGUGCUGCCGACGAUGGCAAUGCUCUGGUGACCGAAGCGCUGCUCAACACGACAGGACCUGUGACAGCAAUGGAGGGCUUGCUGACAACAGUCACGAUGUGCUCCAGCUACGGUGUUGAUGCUGAUGGUGAUGAAGCAGCAGGGUGGAGUCUGCCAAUGCAUGAGCUACGGAAAGCGGAGGGGAGAGAGGCCGUUGUGAGCCGAUGGCAACUGGAGGGCCCCUGGUUCUCUAACUGCAUUACCUUCAGGAUGGAUGGGUGACAGCGAUGGAUGGGCCACUGGAUGGACAGUGACAGGUGAGUGAAGGGACUGAAUGAUGGACAGCUAUAAGGGUGGCUAGAUGGCUGAACAGAAAACUGGGAGGUUCAGAGCUCAGCCUGUCAGGUCAGACAGCUCUGCCAUUUACCAGCUGUGUGUUCUUGGGGAAGUCACUUAACCUCUCUGUGUCUCACUUUCUACAUCUCAUCUGUAAAGUGGGAAUAAUAAUAGCAUUUCCUCAUAGGAUUGCUGUGAGGACAGCUUAGAACAGAGAAAAGGCUGUGUAUGUGGGUUUGCUAGCCUAAUGGGUGGAUAGACAGAUGGAUGGAUGGAAGAACAGAUAGACAGAUGAAUGAAGGGAAGGAGUAAUAGAUGGACAGGUCUGUGGAAGGAUGGGUAGAAGGGUCGAUGAGCAUAUAAAUUGGUGCACUGAUGGAGGGCUGGUCAGGUGGUGGGUUACUAGACAGGUAGAAGAGACAGUGAACGCCCAGUGCCAGGCAGGAAGGCGUGGGAAGGGGGGGCAGCCUCUCUUCUUCUCCAGAGGUAACAGGACAAUCUCAGCUUAGGUCCUGACACAGACGUGGCUCAGACCUGCUUUCCCUCCCCCAAGACAUCCAGGAAAGUGUCCUGUUCAACCCUCCUGGCCCAUGGUAAUGGGUGCCCACUGGGUCCCCAGGAUCCUUUCCCCUCAACCCCUACCCGGGUAACACCCUUCCUGGUGGUGGUCCACGUGGUCUCUGGAAGCUCAGUUCUAGCCUCCACUGGAGGGUUACUGCCUGAGCAAAGGCAUCAUUUGUGGGGACCCCCCCCCCGCCGCUGAGUUCCAAAGUGCACCAGCCUGUUAGGGCAGCCACUCUCCUCUCCCCACCCAUAGUGCCCUAGUCUUCAGCCCAUACUUGCAUGGGGCAACUCUAGGCAGAGCUCUGAUCCCACUUCCAACAGCUCAUCCUAAGCCUCCAGGAGGAUUCAACCCCCACUGCCUACAUACACACCAUGGACCUCUGUAGCUUUUGGAAUGUGGGGCAUCCUGGGUCUUUCUGGAAAGAGUAUAGAACAAAGAAGGAAGUAUCUUCCAGAGUCAAGACCUACAUGCAUAUGCGCACAUUCAUACCAGCAAUCAUCCACCCACCUAUCACCCACUUACCCAUCUAUCCAUCUAUCCAUCCAUGCAUCCACCUAUCCAUCUACCCACCUAUCCAUCCAUCCAUCCAUCCAUCCACC